rnacentral:tRNA from 1 species
GACAGCGUGUCCGAGUGGUUAAGGAGGUGGACUUGAAAUCUACUAGGCUCAGCCUGCGCAGGUUCGAAUCCUGCCGCUGUCG